GUUGUAACAGGGGCAGGUUGUAACAGGGCGAAUAGUUCCACGACCAGCCACAAGAGCGUAUCAUCGUUUCAGCCAUCAAGGCACAUUAUGAUGCCUUCAGUGCGAGUGGUAACACUGUGGCAGUCGGACGAUUUCACUGGCGACAAGAAGGAAAAAUUUGUUUUUGGACGAGAUGCGUAACUACAAAAGAAAAACCGACAAAGGAAAAUAUUCUAUUGACAUGUUGGAGAAAGCAGCUGAAGUUGUAAGAGAAGGAAGAUCUGUUAGGCAUGCUGCGAAAACGUACAACAUCUGCCAUGUGACACUUGGGAGGUACAUAAAAAAGAAAAACAAACGUUUAAAUGCAGUCGAUAUUAAUUUUCGAGAGGAGUGGAAACCUUUGGCUGGUUAUUAUGGGAACAGACAGGUAUUUACACCUUUGCAAGAGAUCGCUCUUGUUUCCUACAUAAAAACAUGUUCUGACAUAUAUUUUAGACUCACUCCACGUG